GUUGCCAUCUUUCCAACCAGCAGUAACUUCUUGUUAAAAUCUCAUGCAGUAACCAGCAGUAACAACACUUGUAAGUUUAUCCUUGGAUGUCACAAGCUAUAUUAUACAUACAAAUUAAAGGGAGGCCAAGCAAUUACACGCAAAUCCCUUUACAGAGCAACAAAAAGAAUCAGAAUCAGACACCCCCGGAGUCUACUCCACAACAUGUACAGAGCUACUAAUCUUGCCAUUCCUUACCCAGCGUGUCAAAACGCCCACCUUUGGUCCCUCUUCGGUGCCAAGACUGAUCUGCGUCUGCCUAGUGCUGGUCAGGCAGGAAGAGGUACCGGAACGUCGAGUCGAACGGGACGACGCUGAAGCUGCGGAACCCGAGGAGCCGCUGCUUGCGUGACGACGUCGUGUCCUGGACCGCCGCGACCUGGGCCGGCGUUAGCUGCCGGCAGAUGAUCCAGUCGGCAGCACCACGUACAGUCGUCGCUUGAGGCACC
rnacentral:lncRNA from 1 species